rnacentral:rRNA from 1 species
AAGAUGGCGACCGGCGCACGGGUGAGUAACACGUAUCCAACCUGCCGAUAACUCGGGGAUAGCCUUUCGAAAGAAAGAUUAAUACCCGAUGGCAUAAUAGAACCGCAUGGUUUGAUUAUUAAAGAAUUUCGGUUAUCGAUGGGGAUGCGUUCCAUUAGGCAGUUGGUGGGGUAACGGCCCACCAAGACUACGAUGGAUAGGGGUUCUGAGAGGAAGGUCCCCCACAUUGGUACUGAGACACGGACCAA